AUUAAAAGUGAAAUGAAAGAAAGACUGGAGCAUUGUUUCGCUAUUGAGUCAACAUCCUAUCUCAAUAUCAUUAUAUAUCACUUAAAACAUUAAUCAUAUCAAGAUCUUGGUCGUUAGUUGCGAGCAAUGUCCAUCCUAUCCUACUUCUGUUUGAAUGUCACGUUGUGUGUGUGAUGAGUGAUCUCGAUUGUGCCUCUCUCAAAGGUCCAGUGUUUACUUUCAACGGAAAUACGUCAUGCAUAUCAAACGUUUAUGGGACAAUUUUUAUGUUUAAAGUUAUGUAUUAAAACUGGAGAAAUACAUCAUUGGUAAA